rnacentral:rRNA from 1 species
CGGUAAUUCCAUGCUCCAAUAGCGUAUACUAAAGUUGUUGCAGUUAAAAAGCUCGUAGUUGGAUUUCUGCGGGGACGGAGCGGCCGGUCGCAACUUGCGACUCGAGCUAGCGCUUUCCCCGCAUCCUGCCGCGAACCGUGCUACCAUUAGUUUGGUGGCGCUGGGGAUCGGCUCGAUUACUUUGAGAAAAAUAGAGUGUUCAAAGCAGGCCACACGCCUUGAAUAAGUUAGCAUGGAAUAAUGACUAAGGACUUUGGUUCUUUUCGUUGGUGUUCGGGACUGAAGUAAUGAUUGGUAGGGACAGUUGGGGCGGUCCGUAUUCCAAAGCGAGAGGUGAAAUUCUUAGACCUUCGGAAGACGAACAGCUGCGAAAGCGUUCCGCAAGGAUGUUCCCUUUGAUCAGGAACGAAAGUUGGGGGAUCGAAGACGAUCAGAUACCGUCGUAGUCUCAACUAUAAACUAUACCAGCUAGGGAUCGGCCAACGUUUAAUUAUUCGACUUGGUCGGCACCUUAUGAGAAAUCAAAGCAUCUGGGUUCCGGGGGGAGUAUGGUCGCAAGGCUGAAACUUAAAGGAAUUGACGGAAGGGCACCACCAGCCGUGGAGCCUGUGGCUUAAUUUGACUCAACACGGGAAAACUUACCAGGUCCGGACAUAGUAAGGAUUGACAGAUUGAUAGCUCUUUCUUGAUUCUGUGGGUGGUGGUGCAUGGCCGUUUUUAGUCGGUGGAUGUGAUCUGUCUGCUUAAUUGCGUUAACGGACGAGACCCCAGCCUGCUAAAUAGCGCGGCCGAGCUUUGCUCGGUGCGAGCUUCUUAGAGGGACCAUGAUGCGCGAUAGCACAAGGAAGUUUGGGGCAACAACAGGUCUGUGAUGCCCUUAGAUGUUCUGGGCCGCACACGGGCUACACUGGCGCCUGCAACGAGCAUAUCAGCUGGCCCGAGAGGGUCUUGGCUAAUCUUUGGAACCGGCGCCGUGCUUGGGAUUGACCAUUGCAAUUGUUGGUCAUGCAACGAGGAAUGCCUUGUAAACGCGAGUCAUCAGCUCGCAUUGAAUACGUCCCUGCCCUUUGUACACACCGCCCGUCGCUCCUACCGAUGAAUGUUCCGAUGAAAUUUUCGGAGAGCGCCGGAGAACGGGGCUCUGCCCUGCAGAACUGGAGGCUCAAAGUCACUUAAAUCUGAACAUUUCGAGGAAAGGGAAGUCGUAACAAGGUAACC